GUUUGUGUAACACAGGUAGUUUAGUGACCAUGCUAGUGUGAUGAUCAGUAACCUUACCUGACACUUGAAGAGUUGCAAUGGCUCCUCUAGCAAAUGCCUAGGAUUUGGCUUAGUGGGCUAAUGCAUUCUCCCGGGAUCCCUGUUAGUCACACUUGCUCGUAUUCUGAACAUGACAAAUGCCCGUCUUAAUUCCAGGUUAGAAAAGGAGAGGUGAGGAAGGAGAGUGACUUUGCUACAGGCCAACCUAAGCUCUCUACCAGACGGGUCCUACAUAACAGGACAGGUAAGCAUGUCGAAGUCAAAAUGGACCUGUUUGCCUCUAAAAUGGCAUCAAAUGGAAUGCAUAUUGCUCCCCCCCCCCCCCCCGAGUAUGAGAGCUGCUUUCAUCCAUUUUCUUUUUCACAAUCAAAGCGUCUAUUCUGUUUGUACCUUCCAGGCACCGGUGGGCACGCCUUCCUUUUGCAUGUACUCCAGCAGUCAUCUGGAGAUCAGGCAAAGAGCUCUGAGGCUCUUCCAGCAGGCAGCCCGCAAGGUGGUGAUUCAAUGUCGUGUGAACAACAGACUGGUCUCGUUGAGGCAGCUGACUCAGAGCCUGUCCACAGGAGUAAGCGGUAUUGCACUGUUGAGACCCCACAGGGCAAACAUGUUCUCUAUUUGACACAGGCAUAUGAUCAAAAUACAUACCUGAACGAUGCAGCACACACUUUUGUUGUGCCAAAAUAUUAUUUGACCCCCAAAUCAUUUUGAUGUUGGAAGCAAGCAAGAUGCAUGCAUUCUUCUGUUUCAGUUGAGGAGGAGACUUUUCAUCCACCGAAGAUCUCACCAGACAACGUGAUUCCUAUCUUCUCUCUUCCUAACCAGUCUGAUUGAUGAACUGGUAAGUGCAGUGCACUUUGAUAAAAAGCCAUCUUGUUCUUGCAUGGAUAACUUGCAAAGAAGGAACACUGAUUUAAUUUGCCCAGUAGCUUGUAUUCAUUGAAAUGAUUUAGUGAAAAUGACCAUAACGUAGUGUUGGCCUUGUACUGUAUGCCCAGGCUCCCAAUGCAUUGGGUGCCGUCCCUGUUAGGCCUAUUGAGGUGCUGGUCAAACGACACACUCCAUUCUUCAAUCUGAAGGUACGUUUACACGAGAGGUCUUUGCCUGAAUAAAGAAUCGUUGACGUUGCUUGUACAUUGUAGCACUAACAACUAGCUAUUUUUGCCUUUCAGUCACUGCUGAUGAUGACAGGGAUUUUGCUUAUAAAUUGUACAGUAACAUGCUCACUUCUGUCCCGUUACAUGUGUUGUUUUUCAAGGUUUCCCAGCACUACAAAUUAAUGGGGUACCAGCUUGUUUCGGCCUUUGAGGCUGCAGUUAGCUACAUUCCCCCAACCCAGCCCGGGACUCUGCACUGGGGCACAGGUGAGCCAAGAGACUCACCACCAACACUGUGGGACGCUCACGUAGGUGGUGUGUAAUAC
rnacentral:lncRNA from 1 species